UACGUAGGGUGCGAGCGUUGUCCGGAAUUAUUGGGCGUAAAGAGCUCGUAGGCGGCUCGUCGCGUCGACCGUGAAAACCCGCAGCUUAACUGCGGGCUUGCGGUUGAUACGGGCGGGCUAGAGUUCGGUAGGGGAGACUGGAAUUCCUGGUGUAGCGGUGAAAUGCGCAGAUAUCAGGAGGAACACCGGUGGCGAAGGCGGGUCUCUGGGCUGAUACUGACGCUGAGGAGCGAAAGCGUGGGGAGCGAACAGG
rnacentral:rRNA from 1 species